AACGGUAGUUCCGAUUUAUCGGAAUGAGAGUGGCGCACGGGUGCGUAACGCGUAUGCAACCUACCCUAUACAGGGGGAUAGCCCGGAGAAAUCUGGAUUAAUACCCCAUGGUACCAAGUUGAGGCAUUUUGAUUUGGUUAAAGAUUCAUCGGUAUAGGAUGGGCAUGCGUCUGAUUAGCUAGUUGGCGGUGUAACGGACCACCAAGGCGACGAUCAGUAGGGGUUCUGAGAGGAAGGUCCCCCACACUGGCACUGAGAUACGGGCCAGACUCCUACGGGAGGCAGCAGUAGGGAAUAUUGGGCAAUGGACGAGAGUCUGACCCAGCCAUGCCGCGUGCAGGAAGACGGCGUUCUGCGUUGUAAACUGCUUUUAUCUGGGAAGAAAAGGCCCAUGCGUGGGACAUUGCCGGUACCAGAUGAAUAAGCACCGGCUAACUCCGUGCCAGCAGCCGCGGUAAUACGGAGGGUGCAAGCGUUGUCCGGAUUUAUUGGGUUUAAAGGGUGCGUAGGCGGCUAUUUAAGUCAGUGGUGAAAGACUCCGGCUCAACCGGGGCAGUGCCAUUGAUACUGGAUAGCUUGAGUAUUGGAGGGGUACAUGGAAUUGAUGGUGUAGCGGUGAAAUGCAUAGAUACCAUCAGGAACACCGAUAGCGAAGGCAUUGUACUGGCCAAUAACUGACGCUGAUGCACGAAAGCAUGGGGAGCGAACAGGAUUAGAUACCCUGGUAGUCCAUGCCGUAAACGAUGAUUACUCGCUGUUAUGUCUUUAUGAUGUAGCGGCCAAGCGAAAGCGUUAAGUAA
rnacentral:rRNA from 1 species